AUUGAACGCUGGCGGCAUGCCUUACACAUGCAAGUCGAACGGUAACGGGCCUUCGGGUGCCGACGAGUGGCGAACGGGUGAGUAAUACAUCGGAACGUGCCCGAUCGUGGGGGAUAACGAGGCGAAAGCUUUGCUAAUACCGCAUACGAUCUACGGAUGAAUGCAGGGGACCGCAAGGCCUCGCGCGGACGGGCCGGCUGAUGGCAGAUUAGGUAGUUGGUGGGAUAAAAGCUUACCAAGCCGACGAUCUGUAGCUGGUCUGAGAGGAUGAUCAGCCACACUGGAACUGAGACACGGCCCAGACUCCUACGGGAGGCAGCAGUGGGGAAUUUUGGACAAUGGGCGCAAGCCUGAUCCAGCCAUGCCGCGUGCAGGAUGAAGGCCUUCGGGUUGUAAACUGCUUUUGUACGGAACGAAAAGCCUUCUUUUAAUACAGGGGGGUCAUGACGGUACCGUAAGAAUAAGCACCGGCUAACUACGUG
rnacentral:rRNA from 1 species